rnacentral:rRNA from 1 species
UACAGAGGGUGCAAGCGUUGUUCGGAAUUAUUGGGCGUAAAGCGCGUGUAGGCGGCUUGGUAAGUCGGGUGUGAAAUCCCUCAGCUCAACUGAGGAAGUGCGCCCGAAACUACUUUGCUUGAGUGCCGGAGAGGAUGGCGGAAUUCCCCAAGUAGAGGUGAAAUUCGUAGAUAUGCGGAGGAACACCGAUGGCGAAGGCAGCCUUCUGGGCCAACACGUGACGCUCAUGCACGAAAGCGUGGGGAGCAAACAGG